GUAAACUUUGACUACAUUUAUUACGAUACACCAAGUAAAAUGGAAUCUCUAAUGACGGGAAAUACAACAGAUCGGAUUAACAAUGCGCUGGCAACUCUGAGGAGUGAAAUGCUUGACCUCCGACAACAAGAUGUCCAGUUGAUGAAUCAGCUCAUUUGUAUCAACGAUAAUAUCAAGACACUGGCUAAACGGAGAACGAAUCCAGGGAGACCGAUGAAAAAGAAAAUUUCUUCGGUUAAAGGAAGACGGAAAUUCGUCAAUCUGAAUGAAUCCAUUCCAGAGGAGGAUUCUAAUUCUGCAGAUUCCGAUAGCGACGCCAGCAUUUCUAGUAACGACAAUGACUUGUAAUAGGAAAAUGGGAUAGAGGAACAGCAUUUCAAAUGAAUCUAUCAGAUUGAUUCUGCACUCUAGAUAGAGGAAUCACUACUGUCAUGUAGACAGAAACAAAAUGACCCCAACUUAAGAUUCCUACAAAUUCGCUCAAUCCUUAAUUCGAAGUCAGUGACGAUGUAAUGGUGUCUACGUUAUUUGAGCAUUGCACUUUUGGUUUUGUGUUGCUGAAAACAUGGACACACACAAGACAAAGAAACAUCACAGAAUCCUGUGUUUCCGAGACUAUCAAAACACUUUCUGGACUCAAACCAUUGUGUUCAUUGUGUAUCAGGUCUUCAUUUAAAAACUUUAUUCACAACCUCCAACAAUCGGUUAUAAAGGAAGAGAAGACUUUACUUUGAAUGAAUGCAAUUGGAUAGUGCAAAAGUGACGUUAGAAAUGUGCGCGGAAAGGAUUUGAUAUUGAUAUGAGGUAGCUAUAAUAGUGACUCCUGGUAUAUUGUACGCGGGUAUAGUGUCGGAAUGGCAAAAAGACAGUGUAUACAAAUCAAACACUUAACAAACUUUCACCCAAAUUUGCCAGACACUCAUCAUGUGUUCUUCGAAUGCGUGCAAUACAUCAACCAUUAAUGACGGUAUAAUGUGAUAUUAGUUUUCAUCUUGAUUAAAAACUGAUUUGAAAAUCAUCCUAUGUAUGGGUGAAAAUUCAAUGUGCAAUAGGACAUGUUGCAAUUCUUUUGAAAGGGUAAUGAUAAUAAAAUAUCAUACUAUUA